GAUGAACGCUAGCUACAGGCUUAACACAUGCAAGUCGAGGGGCAGCAUGGAGUUUGCUUGCAAACUCUGAUGGCGACCGGCGCACGGGUGAGUAACGCGUAUCCAACCUGCCCACGGCCAGGGAAUAGCCCGCUGAAAAGCGGAUUAAUGCCCUAUGGGGUCCUUUGCAGACAUCUAAUGAGGACUAAAGAUUUCAUCGGCCAUGGAUGGGGAUGCGUCCGAUUAGGCAGCAGGCGGGGUAACGGCCCACCUGGCCAACGAUCGUUAGGGGUUCUGAGAGGAAGGUCCCCCACACUGGUACUGAGACACGGACCAGACUCC
rnacentral:rRNA from 1 species